GGACAACCUACCCUAAGGAGGGGGAUAACCCCGGGAAACUGAGGAUAAUACCCCAUAGACUAGAGAAGCUGGAAUGCUCUCAAGUCCAAAGGUCCGCCGCCUUAGGAUGGGUCUGCGGUCGAUUAGGUUGUUGUUGGGGUAACGGCCCAACAAGCCUGUGAUCGAUACGGGUUGUGAGAGCAAGAACCCGGAGAUGGAUUCUGAGACACGAAUCCAGGCCCUACGGGGCGCAGCAGGCGCGAAAACUUUACAAUGCGGGAAACCGUGAUAAGGGAACCCCGAGUGCCCGUAAAUUCGGGCUGUCCAUCAGCGUAAAUAACUGGUGAAGAAAGGGCCGGGCAAGACCGGUGCCAGCCGCCGCGGUAAUACCGGCGGCUCGAGUGGUGGCCACUAUUACUGGGCUUAAAGCGUCCGUAGCUGGGUUGUUAAGUCUCUUGGGAAAUCUACCGGCUCAACCGGUAGGCGUUCAGGAGAUACUGGCAAUCUAGGGACCGGGAGAGGUGAGAGGUACUCCAGGGGUAGGAGUGAAAUCCUGUAAUCCUUGGGGGACCACCUGUGGCGAAGGCGUCUCACUAGAACGGCUCCGACAGUGAGGGACGAAAGCUGGGGGAGCAAACCGGAUUAGAUACCCGGGUAGUCCCAGCUGUAAACGAUGCGCGUUAGGUGUAUCGGUGACCACGAGUCACCGAGGUGCCGAAGGGAAACCGUGAAACGUGCCGCCUGGGAAGUACGGUCGCAAGGCUGAAACUUAA
rnacentral:rRNA from 1 species